UCGAGGAUCUUCGGCAAUGAGCGCAAGCUUGACCGAGCGACGCCGCGUGUGCGACGAAGGCCUUCGGGUUGUAAAGCACUGUCGAGGGGGAGGAAAGCCCGAAAGGGUCUGACCUAUCCCUGGAGGAAGCACGGGCUAAGUUCGUGCCAGCAGCCGCGGUAAGACGAACCGUGCGAACGUUGUUCGGAAUCACUGGGCUUAAAGGGCGCGUAGGCGGGCCGUCUAGUCAGAGGUGAAAUCCCCCGGCUCAACCGGGGAACUGCCUUUGAUACUGGCGGUCUGGAGUAAGGUAGGGGCAUGCGGAACUGAUGGUGGAGCGGUGAAAUGUGUUGAUAUCAUCAGGAACUCCGGUGGCGAAAGCGGCGUGCUGGACCUUUACUGACGCUGAGGCGCGAAAGCCAGGGGAGCAAACGGGAUUAGAUACCCCGGUAGUCC
rnacentral:rRNA from 1 species